UUCCCUGUUUCUCAGCACAGCUGUCUCCUGUAGAAUCAGCCUCCAGGAAAACCCAUCUCUUAACCAAUCGCAUGUUCAGAUACUUCCCACCAAGGUUUUCUGCAUCUGCAGCAUGAAGUUCUUGCACUUGCAGCCAGGAAGAACCCCUGUUCACAAGAGGUGGUGGAAAACUCAAGAUUCUCUGAUGCAGAGUUAUGUUUUCCUCGAUGGGCUCCAGUGUGAAGGGUUUCAGACACGGCGAGGAAUGAAUGAGUUGAAAGCAGAAGAUGUCAUGCAAUGGGUAAAUGACGAGGGGGAAAAAUUUAAUGCUCAGAAUCACAGGAAAUGAAAACCACCUCCGUUCAUCUGCAAACAACAAAUAACUUGCACUCCAGCAAGCAGUUUGUCUCAUAUGCUAGUUCACACCUGCAGCAGGGGCAAGAAGGGAAAGUACCAAACCCCAUUAUCCUCAGAGUAAGAGAUCAGAGGAAAGCAGAAAUUAUACAAUUUCCAUAUAGACGAAGCAGCGGAAUGCGAUUUUGGCCAUCUUACAACAGACUCCUGAGCUCUGAAAAAUGCUGUGAAAGCUGUCAGCUGGGCUACAAAAUGCAUAACCUAGUAAGUCAGUAAAGACUGUGCACAAAGGGAUGGAGAAAAGCAUGGAAGAAGAAAAGCCCAUCGCUGGACAGGCACUGCCAUGCAAUGCCACGUGCCAAGAACAAGAAGAGAAGAAAGAUCCCAACAGAGCAGAGCUGGUGCCUGGGCUUGGCAAGGCUCAAGGUCACAUCAUCAGCAAGACCUGGCUGCAGAGCUUUUUCUCCACUCAGGCAAUCCCAACUGGAUUUAAUCUGUGCAGGCUUUGCUCUGUUGUUGGCCCAAGCAUCUUUUUCUGGGCCAACAAUGAUCUUAGAUCAACGAUUUUAGAUCUGUCUUGGUAUUUUGAGCAUGCAAGCUUCCUAACUUCGAGCAGGCUCUGAACACAGGAAGCAGCCACCUGUAAGUGUUGCUCAUUUGGGUCAGGGCCGUCUCCUGCUGUACGCACAUCAUGUUUCUGUGCACACUGUGCUGGUUUAAUAACAGCAGGAAGAGAAGUGCCACAAGAAUCAUCCUGAUUUUUAUACAUUGUUUUUGCACAGAUAUCUGUUUUAUUUAUGUAUUUGCCAAGGACAUAAAUACGUGGAGAAGCACAGAUAAGCUUUUCAGCUUUUAAUCUGUGCUGCCGUGGAUGUUAUGGGCUUUGACUGGACCAACUCUCUUCCCCAAACAGCCAAGUUACUCAGAUGAAUAAGGUCAUCUGCACACUUAAAUGAUUGCCACGUUGGGCCUUGUGCGUUCAGCAUGGGGACUGGCAUUAAAUGGUAUUUCCUUACUCCUUUCCUCCCCCCCCCCAAAAAAAAAGAAAAGAAGAAACUCACCAAAAAAAAAAUGUAGAAGGUGGACAAGAAAUCUCAGAAUCUUACUCAGGAAUGAAGAGCAAAGAGUUUGCUGCCAACCCAGAUGUGAUGGCACCCUGGGAGGGAUGAGAAGCCCGCUGUUUCAGGAGGGCCACUAAAUAAUUUUUCAAACCUUUUGUUAAUGAGAAGAAGCAGAGCGGCCUCUGCCACAGCCUCCAUCUGUUUCCUUGGGCAAACCAUUUAUUGAAACCCGCUGUACUCCAACCUCUUCUUCUGCUCCCUCUCAUCUCUGGUCUUGGCUAUCUGACACCUUGGGGCACAGCAGGCUUUUGCUAUUUCUAUGCAGAGUGACUUCUGCCACGAUUACUGUCGUGUAGACAGCAGAGUAGGACAGAUCCCAGCUCCGUGAGCAUGCCUGUGUUUUCCCUUGGGGGUCAAGCCUUUGAAGCAGCCCCUCUCAAUUCACCUGAGCCAGUUAAGGAAAGGAAAUCGUGGAUUUGUAGAAUAUUCAGAGUUGGAAGGGAACCUCAGGGCUCACCGAGUUCAACCCCUGGCUCCAUACAGGCCACCCCAAACUCCGACCCUACAUCGGAGAGGUGUCCAAAUGCUCCUUGAACUCCAGCAGAUCAGGGCUGUGCCCACUGUCCUUGUUCCAUGCCCACCACCCUCUGAGCAUUUUCCUUUUAUUCAACCUGAAAUGUACGUGGCUUGGCAUGUUGUCCUUCCUAUGUGUCCACUGUAAGGAUGUGCCAUAGGUGUCUGGUUGUCUCUGGAUGCAUUUCAUGCUCAUCUCUUCUCUCCAGCUCCUCCCAGUGCUUAUUGUGCUUUCAGACCCUCUUGAAGACUCAGCUUUCAAGGACCUUUGUUUCCCACCAAAGAUCUGCUUAAGGGCUGCCAAUGGCUCUGCAUACACAAACUCGUGCUGUCCCCCAGGGUGGUCUGUCCAUUGGGCUUCCUAACCUGUGAGGGCACUCUGAGUGCUCCAAAGUCUCCAUCAGUGAUGCUGUAAGAGUCACAGGGUUUGUCCACCCUGAUUCCUGCACUCCCAAGUGUUGAGGAACUGAGGACCCACAAGUGGAAGCAACCUUCUGAGCUGCUGGAUCACCUCCACACCUUGCAGUGCAGCCUGAGCACAUGGGACAUGGUGAGGGAUGUGCCUUUUAUAAUGCAAACAUGUUGUGAAGUCUGUAAUGUUAUCGUUGUUCGUUCUUCUCUCAGCUUGUCCUUGCUGCCUUCUAGCCCCAGAUCCCAGUGUCAUCUGACUACUCCAAACUCAAUGCUCUUUGAUGGAGAAACUAGAAAACCCAGAACUCUACUCACUUAAAACCUAGGAGGAAAGUGAAUUACAUUUCAAAGUUGGGGUGAUCUCAUUGCCUUUAGAGGUGAACAGAGUACUUGUUUAUGUCUGAACCCUUUGCUUAGGCUCAUGUUAGAGUCUACACAGACAAAUGGACAUUUCUGACUCGCAGUCCACUCUGAAUCAAGUAAUGAAAUGUAAUGAAAACUUCACUGGUGCUUUCUGUGGUCUACCAGCAAUGCUUGUUUUAUGAAGGCCCACAGGUGGAUGAGAAUGGACCAGAAAAGGAGAGGAGGGAUAUGGGGUGUGAGAGAUGGUCCGGAGCUGAGGUUGGGCACGUGGUGUUGGGAUGUUCAGACUUUGGUAAUCUGAGAGCAGCCACAGGGUGCUGCCUGGUGCUCGGUGAAGUGCUGAUGGACAGGAAAAAGAAAAAUGCUCCUUGAACCUCUUGACCUGAGCAACGUGAAAGGCAAGGCACGCAGCCUUGUUUUAUGAAUGCUCCCACAGCUUGAAACUUGUUGGUGGGUAGUAGUAUUAAUGUUGCUCAGGGUUAGGAGAAAAAAGAAAACAUUCUGAAAUGUAUGUUCAGAGAUAUUCCUUUUUUUUUUUUCUUCUCUUAUGUAAGGAAAAUAGAAACAAAAAGGGGGAAAACAAUAAAAAAAAAUCCCUACCAACCCUCUCUGCAUCAGCAACCGCUUCUGUCUCCAGGCUCUACGGCAAUGAUACCUCAACCCACCCAUUCAGCAGUCCAUUAUCAUUUCCCUCCUUCCAUUAUUCCCCUUCAACCUUAUCAGACGUAAGCAUCGUCUCAGAUGCUCCAACUGGAGCCUUGUAAUUGUCCCUGGUUAGAGCUCGAUAGCACCUUGAACCGCCAGAGUAAUCUCUGCUUUAAGAAAAAGGUCUCUGCAAGGAGACAACGGCGCUUGAAUUUGCCCGUGGCUAUGCAGGAUCUUUAAUAGCUAACUCUUUUCUCUCUCCCUCUCUCCUGCACGCACAUACGAGCACAGAUAAAUGGAAAACUCUCUCUCUUUUUUUUUUUUUUUUAAUAUUUAUCCUCAGCCUCUUUCGACUGCCUGUUAGGCAGCCAUCACAAUAUUUAUUACGGGGUUUGCAAUAUUAUUAUUAGCAGCUCCUGAGGGCAAGUGGAGGAGGAGGUGUCUGGAGAAAGCGUAAUAAUGUUAGUGAGGAGAUCUCUCUGGAGAGGGAGAGUGGAAAUGGCAUUUUCUUGUGCUUCUCAAUGGGAGGAAGGAAAUCGGACCCAGUUGGACACUUGUUGUCCUCACAUCUGGGUGAGGUUUGGGCCAGGGCAACAUUAGUGCCACAUCCUUCUUCAGUAGGAAAACAAACAGUUAUUUAUUUGAUGGAAUAAGGAAUAAGAAUAAGAUGGAAAACAGGAAUGGAAUAAGAGCAGAACAUGCAACAUCCUGUUGAAAGAGGGGGUGAGGAGGAUCUUGGCAUUGCUCCCCAAUUCAGGUCCCACCAGUUUCCCUAAGACAGCCUGAGCUACCAGCACAGCCAGCACAAGAGGUUGCAGAACAUAUAAAAACUCUCACCCACAAGUUAAACCCUUUCUUCAGUGAAGGCCUACGUCAGAGGAUUGGAAGGUGGAGGGAUUUAAUUCCAAGAACUGAUAGUUUCAUAGAAUCCUGAAGGUUGGAAAUGAUCACCGACGCCAUCUAGACCAACUGCUGACCCACUGGUUUCUCUCUAACAAACAAGACCAAGCUUCCUGCUGAUGUUCGCCUCCUCUGGCCUCUUCCAGAUUCUCAGGUUCCUGCCCCAUCCUCAGGAUACACUUUU